GGACUUAGCCACAUACCAUACAUCCUUAUGCAUUUAGUGCUGCUCUUGCAAUGCCGAUUCAUUCUGUUUUUUCUGCUGAUAGCAGUUUCUGCAAUUUCGCGCAUCCUUACUCUGUUGUUGUUUAUGGAUGAGAAGUUAGAAAAAUAUUGGAUCCUGAAAUUGCAGUACUGUGGACUUGUGCCAGUGAAGAAACAAAAGUAUACAACCAUAUUUUCUAUCUUGCCAAACAUCUACCUGCAAGUGAGAUUGACUUCAACAUUUUGGAUGAAAGUUUUUCAGACAGAAUCAGAAGCAGUACACCACUGGCCAAUGAAAAUGAUCUCACAUUAACCUUUAAUGACACAGGUUUAUCAGGCAAUGAAAUAGAGGAAUAUUCACAAAAAAUAAGCAGGUGCCAGUGACCAAAAUUUAGUGCCACAGCUAAUGCCAGCAACAGUCUUCAGAAUCUAACAUUUUUAGAAGCUGCAAAGGUUAAUAAUAUAUUGGUCAAUCGUUCAAAACAUGUCAGAAACCAUUCCAAAAGGUCUAAAAAUGUCUAUUUUCUUGUUAAAAAUGAAGUAUUCACAGAUGUACAAAUGGUUCAGGAGCAAGUAGAGUCUCUCCAGUUUCUUUUUACAUUUGUCUAACUUUAGGUCACUUUAAAAAUGUCAUAAAAAGGACUGGAAAGUAUUGUAAAGUUGUUAAAAGUAACAAAAAGUUUAUUUACAUUGAUUUAGAGCCACAGCCAUUGCCAUCUAAGGUCAUACAGCUUCAUCGACACUAUGCAUGUUUACAAGCAAGCAAUAAUUUUCAACUAUGCAUCAGUUGGAUAGAAGAAGAAACAUUGCCAAGUUCAUCUCUCUAGGUUGUCUGGUUUUCGUUUGUUUAAUAGCAUCCAUUAUUGAUCUGGGUGUUUGUACAUUGUUGCUGUUUCGAUGUGGACAUGAUCCAGUAUGUUUUUCAACAAAUUCAACAACGCAGACAUGUCUGCAUGUUCAACUACAUAUUCAAUGUCUGCAUUUUGGAUAUGUUGGAAAAUAUUCUGGAUCAUGUCCACAUGGAAACAACAACAAUGCACAAUCAACUUAAGCACAAACAUCCAGAUCAGCAAUGGAUGCUAUUAAUCAAACAAAACCAGAAACCUAGAGAGAUCUACUAGGAUCUACUACUAAACCAUGAAAAAUGAUUACCCCUAUGUACAAAGUUUAGAACAGAAAAUAAUAAAAUUCCAAAUGUAAUCCUUUACUUGGAAAAAAACUAUACAGCAAAUAAAAGCUAUGUGUUCAAGUGGUUGUCCAUCAAUCAUUGGAAUCGAUUAAUUCUUUAAUCUUGUAGAAGUGUAUGUCACUGUAACAGUAUUUGAAAUGCCGGUUGUAGUCCACAAAGAUGGCCAAUUGAAUCUGAUCUUCAUUGGGCCAUUUUUCCUGCAUUGCGAUGCAUUUGAUGGUACAAGUGCCCAUUUCUUCACACAUUUACAGAAUAAAUUCAAAGAAUCGUCAUGCAAAACUGAAAGUUUUAUUUUGAUACUGAUCAAAAAAAGGCUAUGAUUUCACCCAAAAAAUUUCCUUUUCCAGAAUUCAAUCAGGUCUUGUGUAUCUGACACAUAAAACAAAAUGUGGAGUCAUAUCUGGCAGAAAAAGAAGGACAGGGAAAAAAAAUGUCAAGUGGUUAUUAAUGGUUUGUUUAGAAGUCAAGGUGCAGUGUUGUCAGAUGAUUCAAUAGCAUUUAAAGAACAAAUAAAGUUUGUCCAAAACAUCUGCAAAAACAAAAAAAGAGUCAAAUUUCUAAAGUAUUUGGAUCAAUGUUUUGGCCUGAUACUUAAGGAAAAUGUGAUGAGACCUCAUCUUUACAGAAAUGUCCAAGAUAACUGGACAAAGAAUAAUGCAGAGAAAUGUCCAAGAUAACGGGACAAAGAAUAAUGCCAACCAUAUACUGAAUUGUGCAGUUAACUGGAAACCACUAAUGAACUAAUCACACAAAUUUGGAAUCUAGUACAAGUUCAACAAAAGAUCUGUAAAGAACUAUUACUGGCACAAGAUCAUUCAAACUGGCACCAGAAUAUCAACAGCAUGUUAUUCUCCACAAUAAUGGUCACACAUGUCAACUGAAGACAAACAGAAAGCAGUGAAAAAGUUAUUCUGUGCAAGGAUACCAAACUCAAUGACAACAUCAACUGACAGAAAACUCAAAGUGCCUAUGCCCAUGGGCAGUAUGAAAUCAGGUUAAAAAAAGGCUAACAGCUGAACAAUCAAUGACCAUGCUGAAAUAGCAAAAAACGUUUUGGCAAAUAAACAGAAAUUAACUGGAUUGUCUUCUUUAAAUAUAACUUUAUAACAACUUUAAAUAAUAAAAAAUUUGCUGAUAAAUGGCUCAACCAAGAGGGCCUGAUUUCCAAUAAAUAUUUAGGAAAACAUUUUUAGACAACUGAUUUUUUUAUAUGUGGCAUGCCCUUCAUUUGGGUUUCUUAUAAAUAUUUGGAUGUAAGUCAAUGAGCAACUGUGGCAGAUAUCUUCAUUAUUUCAUUUCUCAUCGAUAUAAGUCAACAAUAAGAGUGAUAGUUUCAAUCAAUUAUUUCAAUAGAUUAAGUUUAUUAAAUUUAAUUUGUAUGUUAUUUUGGUUUAUUUUGGGUUAAUUAUUUGUCAAUCGCAUUGCGCAUUGUCUUAUCGGUCCAUUAAUUGAAUAGAUUAAGUUUAUUACAGUUAAUUUGUAUGUUAUUUUGAGUUAUUUUGUCUUUAAGAUGUACCGCUAAGAUAAUAGUGAUUGAGUUACACAUAAAUUUUAUCUAUAUAGAGCCCGUAAGAUAAUGUCCUAAUAAUGGAUUACUGCUCGAUCAGCUAUGCAAAUAUUUGUUGCAUGUGAUUGUUUAGUGUGUUGUGCAUAUUUUAGACACAAAAAUGAAUUUUAAUAGAUGGCACAAGAGAUGCUAGCUCUUUAGAGCUAGUGUCUCUUGAUGAUGAACCAAAAUGUUCGAAAAAAAAAAACUAAUUUUAAAGAGCUGGAUUUUUUUGGAAAAAAAAACAACAUACAUGACUGCUUUGAUUUAUCGAUGGGCAGUUAUGAUGUAGCAGAAAUUUGUGAAUUUGUUGCACUAUAUGUUUUAGAUUUAUUAAGUAAGAUAAUUAAUAGUAAUGAUUUAGGCUUUUAUUUUGAUGAUGGUUUAAUAGUAAUACACAUGCUAACCAAGAAUAUUUUUCAAACAAAAAAUCAGAAUUGAU